AUUGAACGCUAGCGGGAUGCUUUACACAUGCAAGUCGAACGGAGUGGCGGACGGGUGAGUAAUAUAUCGGAACGUGCCCAGUAGCGGGGGAUAACUACUCGAAAGAGUGGCUAAUACCGCAUACUCUUGGAGCGGCCGAUAGCGGCUUAGCUAGUUGGUGGGGUAACGGCUCACCACGGCAACGAGCCGUAGCUGGUUUGAGAGGACGUCCAGCCACACUGGGACUGAGACACGGCCCAGACUCCUACGGUGGGCAGCUGUGGGGAAUUUUGGACAAUGGGUGAAACCCUGAUCCAGCCAUCCCGCUUGUAUGAUGAGGGCCUUCGGGUUGUAAAGUACUUUUGGCAGAGAAGCGGUAUCUGCAGAAUAGGCACCGGCUAACUACGUGCCAGUAGCCGCGAUAAUAC
rnacentral:rRNA from 1 species